AGAGUUUGAUCCUGGCUCAGGAUGAACGCUAGCGGCAGGCCUAACACAUGCAAGUCGAGGGGCAGCACGGUGUAGCAAUACACUGGUGGCGACCGGCGCACGGGUGCGUAACGCGUAUGCAACCUACCCAUAACAGGGGGAUAACACUGAGAAAUUGGUACUAAUACCCCAUAACAUCAGGACCGGCAUCGGUUCUGGUUGAAAACUCCGGUGGUUAUGGAUGGGCAUGCGUUGUAUUAGCUGGUUGGUGAGGUAACGGCUCACCAAGGCAACGAUACAUAGGGGGACUGAGAGGUUAACCCCCCACAUUGGUACUGAGACACGGACCAAACUCCUACGGGAGGCAGCAGUGAGGAAUAUUGGUCAAUGGACGCAAGUCUGAACCAGCCAUGCCGCGUGCAGGAAGACGGCUCUAUGAGUUGUAAACUGCUUUUGUACGAGGGUAAACGCUCUUACGUGUAAGAGCCUGAAAGUAUCGUACGAAUAAGGAUCGGCUAACUCCGUGCCAGCAGCCGCGGUAAUACGGAGGAUCCAAGCGUUAUCCGGAUUUAUUGGGUUUAAAGGGUGCGUAGGCGGUUUGACAAGUUAGAGGUGAAAUGCCGGUGCUUAACACCGGAACUGCCUCUAAUACUGUUGAACUAGAGAGUAGUUGCGGUAGGCGGAAUGUAUGGUGUAGCGGUGAAAUGCUUAGAGAUCAUACAGAACACCGAUUGCGAAGGCAGCUUACCAAACUAUAUCUGACGUUGAGGCACGAAAGCGUGGGGAGCAAACAGGAUUAGAUACCCUGGUAGUCCACGCAGUAAACGAUGAUAACUCGCUGUCGGCGAUGCACGGUCGGCGGCUAAGCGAAAGCGAUAAGUUAUCCACCUGGGGAGUACGUUCGCAAGAAUGAAACUCAAAGGAAUUGACGGGGGCCCGCACAAGCGGAGGAACAUGUGGUUUAAUUCGAAGCAACGCGAAGAACCUUACCAGGUCUUGACAUCCGUGUAAAGCCGCAGAGAUGCGGUGUGAGCUUGCUCAAUACGAGACAGGUGGUGCAUGGUUGUCGUCAGCUCGUGUCGUGAGAUGUUGGGUUAAGUCCCGCAACGAGCGCAACCCUUAUCGUCCGUUACUAACGCGUAAAGGCGAGGACUCAGACGAGACCGCCGGGGACAACUCGGAGGAAGGUGGGGACGACGUCAAAUCAUCAUGCCCCUUACGACCUGGGCUACACACGUGCUACAAUGGGUACAACAAAGAGAAGCGAGACCGCAAGGUGGAGCAAAACUCAGAAAAGUACUCUCAGUUCAGAUUGUGGGCUGCAACCCGCCCACAUGAAGUUGGAGUUGCUAGUAAUCGCGGAUCAGCAUGCCGCGGUGAAUACGUUCCCGGGCCUUGCACACACCGCCCGUCAAG
rnacentral:rRNA from 1 species